CCGAUUUUAAAUGGAUUUUGAUUUUAAUCAAAAUUAUUUAAUUUAAUUUAAAAUUUAUUUUCUUUAAAUUAAUAUUAAUUUUAAAAUAUAAAAAUAUAAACAAAUUUUGUGAGGUUUUAAAAUUUAAAAAACAUACAAAAAAUAAUUAAAUAAUAAUAAUAAUAACAAAUAUUCAAAAAAAAGAAAAAAAAUAUAUCAAAAAGAAGUUGAAAAUAAAAAAAUUAUAUUCUGAAAAUGCAAAAAAAAAUCUUAAAAAA
rnacentral:lncRNA from 1 species